AAGUCCUACGGGACGCAGCAGUGGGGAAUUUUGCGCAAUGGGGGAAACCCUGACGCAGCAACGCCGCGUGCGGGACGAAGGCCUUCGGGUUGUAAACCGCUUUCAGCAGGGACGAAUUCCGACGGUACCUGCAGAAGAAGCCCCGGCUAACUACGUGCCAGCAGCCGCGGUAAUACGUAGGGGGCAAGCGUUAUCCGGAUUCAUUGGGCGUAAAGCGCGCGCAGGCGGGCCGCUAAGCGGGACCUCUAAUCUUGGGGCUCAACCUCAAGCCGGGUCCCGAACUGGCAGCCUCGAGUGCGGGAGGG
rnacentral:rRNA from 1 species